rnacentral:rRNA from 1 species
GACGAACGCUGGCGGCGUGCUUAACACAUGCAAGUCGAACGAUGAAGCGGUGCUUGCACCGUGGAUUAGUGGCGAACGGGUGAGUAAUACGUGAGUGACCUACCUUUGACUCUGGGAUAAGCCUGGGAAACUGGGUCUAAUACCGGAUACGACCAAUCUCUGCAUGGGGUGUUGGUGGAAAGCGUUAUGGAGUGGUUUUAGAUGGGCUCACGGCCUAUCAGCUUGUUGGUGAGGUAAUGGCUUACCAAGGCGACGACGGGUAGCCGGCCUGAGAGGGUGACCGGCCACACUGGGACUGAGACACGGCCCAGACUCCUACGGGAGGCAGCAGUGGGGAAUAUUGCACAAUGGGCGCAAGCCUGAUGCAGCGACGCCGCGUGAGGGAUGACGGCCUUCGGGUUGUAAACCUCUGUUAGCAUCGAAGAAGCGAAAGUGACGGUAGGUGCAGAGAAAGCGCCGGCUAACUACGCG